ACGGAAGGCAGCAGUGAGGAAUAUUGGUCAAUGGGCGAGAGCCUGAACCAGCCAAGUAGCGUGAAGGAUGAAGGUCCUAUGGGUUGUAAACUUCUUUUAUACGGGAAUAACAGACAAUACGUGUAUUGUUUUGCAUGUACCGUAUGAAUAAGCAUCGGCUAACUCCGUGCCAGCAGCCGCGGUAAUACGGAGGAUGCGAGCGUUAUCCGGAUUUAUUGGGUUUAAAGGGAGCGCAGACGGGUUUUUAAGUCAGCGGUAAAAGCGUGUGGCUCAACCAUACCACGCCGUUGAAACUGGAGACCUUGAGUGAGGCUGGGGUACGCGGAAUUCGUCGUGUAGCGGUGAAAUGCUUAGAUAUGACGAAGAACUCCGAUCGCGAAGGCAGCGUGCCAAACCUUAACUGACGUUCAUGCUCGAAGGUGCGGGUAUCAAACAGGAUUAGAUACCCUGGUA
rnacentral:rRNA from 1 species